rnacentral:misc_RNA from 1 species
AUGAUGUCUUUGAAAAGUAAAUUUGGUGGUUUAUUGAGCCAGAUGACUCGUGUAUUUGGUAUUGAUGAUGAAUUUGGUGAAGAUGCCCUUUUGGGAAGGCUUGAGGGCAUGAAAGAUGUGAUUGAACGAGUGAAUAUGCAAUUCAAAGACCCAGAUUUGACAACCUUUGUCUGUGUUUGCAUUCCGGAAUUUCUCUCGCUGUAUGAAACAGAGAGACUGGUGCAGGAACUUACCAAAUUUGAGAUAGAUACACAUAAUAUUAUCAUCAACCAAGUACUUUAUGAUGAAGAAGAUGUUGAAUCCAAAUUGCUUAAAGCAAGAAUGCGGAUGCAACAAAAGUAC